GAUGAACGCUAGCUACAGGCUUAACACAUGCCAGUCGAGGGGAAACGGCAUUAAGUGCUUGCACUUUUUGGACGUCGACCGGCGCACGGGUGAGUAACGCGUAUCCAACCUUCCCAUGACUAAGGGAUAACCUGCCGAAAGGCAGACUAAUACCUUAUGGUCUUCACUGACGGCAUCAGAUGUGAAGUAAAGAUUUAUCGGUUAUGGAUGGGGAUGCGUCUGAUUAGCUUGUUGGCGGGGUAACGGCCCACCAAGGCAACGAUCAGUAGGGGUUCUGAGAGGAAGGUCCCCCACAUUGGAACUGAGACACAGUCCAAACUCCUACGGGAGGCAGCAGUGAGGAAUAUUGGUCAAUGGGCGAGAGCCUGAACCAGCCAAGUAGCGUGCAGGAGGACGGCCCUAUGGGUUGUAAACUGCUUUUGUAUGGGGAUAAAGUCAAUCACGUGUGAUUGUUUGCAGGUACCAUACGAAUAAGGACCGGCUAAUUCCGUG
rnacentral:rRNA from 1 species